UGGGGAAUAUUGGACAAUGGGCGCAAGCCUGAUCCAGCCAUGCCGCGUGAGUGAUGAAGGCCCUAGGGUUGUAAAGCUCUUUCACCGGUGAAGAUAAUGACGGUAACCGGAGAAGAAGCCCCGGCUAACUUCGUGCCAGCAGCCGCGGUAAUACGAAGGGGGCUAGCGUUGUUCGGAUUUACUGGGCGUAAAGCGCACGUAGGCGGACUAUUAAGUCAGGGGUGAAAUCCCGGGGCUCAACCCCGGAACUGCCUUUGAUACUGGUAGUCUUGAGUUCGAGAGAGGUGAGUGGAAUUCCGAGUGUAGAGGUGAAAUUCGUAGAUAUUCGGAGGAACUCCAGUGGCGAAGGCGGCUCACUGGCUCGAUACUGACGCUGAGGUGCGAAAGCGUGGGGAGCAAACAGG
rnacentral:rRNA from 1 species